UGGAUGAGGAUGAAGCAAUAACAAUAAUCCAACACUUGAUCUGAGACUUUCAUAGUCAAGUGAUGUUCACAUAUUGACUUCUGAAUCUGU